rnacentral:rRNA from 1 species
UCCGUAGGUGAACCUGCGGAAGGAUCAUUACCUAGAGUUUGCAGACUUCGGUCUGCUACCUCUUACCCAUGUCUUUUGAGUACCUUCGUUUCCUCGGCGGGUCCGCCCGCCGGUUGGACAACAUUCAAACCCUUUGCAGUUGCAAUCAGCGUCUGAAAAAACAUAAUAGUUACAACUUUCAACAACGGAUCUCUUGGUUCUGGCAUCGAUGAAGAACGCAGCGAAAUGCGAUAAGUAGUGUGAAUUGCAGAAUUCAGUGAAUCAUCGAAUCUUUGAACGCACAUUGCGCCCCUUGGUAUUCCAUGGGGCAUGCCUGUUCGAGCGUCAUUUGUACCUUCAAGCUCUGCUUGGUGUUGGGUGUUUUGUCUCGCCUCUGCGUGUAGACUCGCCUUAAAACAAUUGGCAGCCGGCGUAUUGAUUUCGGAGCGCAGUACAUCUCGCGCUUUGCACUCAUAACGACGACGUCCAAAAGUACAUUUUUACACUCUUGACCUCGGAUCAGGUAGGGAUACCCGCUGAACUUAAGCAUAUCAAUAAGCGGAG